rnacentral:rRNA from 1 species
AGCGGCGCACGGGUGAGUAACACUUGGGUAAUCUGCCCUGGAGUGGGGAAUAACACCGGGACACCGGUGCUAAUACCGCAUGCGAUAACGAGGUCUGAGGACUUCGGUAUGAAAGGAGUAAUUCGCUCUAGGAGGAGCCCGCGGCUGAUUACCUAGUUGGUGAGGUAAUGGCUCACCAAGGCUUCUAUCAGUAUCCGGUCUGAGAGGACGGUCGGACACACUGGAACUGAGACACGGUCCAAACUCCUACGGGAGGCAGCAGUGGGGAAUUUUUGGCAAUGGGGGAGACCCUGACCAAGCAACGCCGCGUGGGUGAUGAAGUAUUUCGGUAUGUAAAACCCUUUCGACGGGGAAGAAAACCGCAAGGUUUGACGGUACCCGUAGAAAAAGCCCCGGCUAACUCCGUGCCAGCAGCCGCGGUAAUACGGGGGGGGCAAGCGUUGUUCGGAAUUACUGGGCGUAAAGGGUGCGUAGGCGGUCCGCUAAGUUAGAUGUGAAAAACUCUGGGCUUUAACCCAGAGCCCUGCAUCUAA